rnacentral:lncRNA from 1 species
UUCAUAAUGACUUAUUGAAACUAGGACAUUUCAACUGAUGCUGUUCAAUUUCUUGGUUCUUAUAACUUCCUAAAGGAAAUGGUUGGCUUGUUGAAGCAUGUAUAAAGUUCAUACCAAUGAAUUACUGAACAUUUGGGAGGAGUCCUGUGAGCUUCCAGAUCAUUGAGAUAUAGCUGAAGCCCAUCAGUCUUUUCCAGGCAGUGACCCAGGAAUCAUCUUCACAAAUAAUUUCUGCUUUACUUUAUUUGUAAUUUUCUAUCAUACCAUAUUAAUUUCUGUAUUGGAUUUCUUAUGCGUCUUUUUGGCAAUGGCAUCACUUCAACAUAUUUCUGAGCACCGUAAUAAGGGUUUGGGUCGAGAAUGUGCUUUGCACAUGAAGCCAAAGUCUACGAGGACAUGAAAGAGUGUGACAGAAGUAGAAAACAGAGGAGGGAUUCGCCCUGAAGCUGGUUUUGAUAAUACAAACACAUCUGGAGUUUCCGUUCAGUAUGUGGACAACCAAGAAGGGAUUUCUGAAGGCACAUUUGAGCAGGACAAUAUAUUAAUUGAGCCUACUGUAGAGCUUUCAGUGCAAUGCAUGGAGAACCAGAGAGGCCUUCAUGGGCAAAUUUUGUAUGAUGAUGUGUCAUACCCCAUCCAUCUCCAUCCUCAGGCUGAGCCAGAUAUUGAUGAUGAAGGCAUUGUAGUUGACAUGGAAGAAGAUGAAGGACAGGAAUUGCACUAAUGUGUAUUUGAUGUGACGAAAGGUUUAGCACCUCUAAGUUAUGAAGUUAACAUGGAAUGACUGCUUAUAAACAGUAUUUGUUUGAGUGUUGAACAAUUGUUUUCUUAAUACGAAUCAAACUUUUGGAACUUCUUGUAAGGGGAAGUUGUUGCUUUGUGUUAUGUGAGUAUGCUG